rnacentral:rRNA from 1 species
UUCGAUUCUGGCUCAGGAUGAACGCUGGCGGCACGCCUAACACAUGCAAGUCGAACGGAGUUUAGUGGGGCUUGCUCCUAUAAACGUUAGUGGCGGACGGGUGAGUAACACGUGAGCAACCUGCCUUUCAGAGAGGGAUAGCUUCUGGAAACGGAUGGUAAUACCUCAUAACAUAUUGAUACGGCAUCGUAUUUAAUAUACAAAAGAUUUUAUCGCUGAAAGAUGGGCUCGCGUCUGAUUAGCUGGUUGGUGAGGUAACGGCCCACCAAGGCAACGAUCAGUAGCCGGACUGAGAGGUUGAACGGCCACAUUGGGACUGAGACACGGCCCAGACUCCUACGGGAGGCAGCAGUGGGGAAUAUUGCACAAUGGGCGCAAGCCCUGAUGCAGCGAUGCCGCGUGAGGGAAGAAGGUUUUCGGAUUGUAAACCUCUGUCAUCGGGGACGAAAAUGACGGUACCCGAGAAGGAAGCCUCCGGCUAACUACGUGCCAGCCGCCGC